AUGCCGUCAGUCACACGCAGUACACGUA
rnacentral:piRNA from 1 species